UACGAAGGGUGCAAGCGUUACUCGGAAUUACUGGGCGUAAAGCGUGCGUAGGUGGCUUCGUAAGUCCGUUGUGAAAGUCAAAGGCUCAACCUUUGAAAGCCGAUGGAUACUGUGAAGCUAGAGUACGGAAGAGGCGAGUGGAAUUCCUGGUGUAGCGGUGGAAUGCGCAGAUAUCAGGAGGAACACCAAUAGCGAAGGCAGCUCGCUGGGACGUUACUGACACUGAGGCGCGAAAGCGUGGGGAGCGAACAGG
rnacentral:rRNA from 1 species